rnacentral:rRNA from 1 species
GACGAACGCUGGCGGCGUGCCUAAUACAUGCAAGUUGAGCGAUGAAGAUUGGUGCUUGCACCAAUUUGAAGAGCAGCGAACGGGUGAGUAACGCGUGGGGAAUCUGCCUUUGAGCGGGGGACAACAUUUGGAAACGAAUGCUAAUACCGCAUAACAACUUUAAACAUAAGUUUUAAGUUUGAAAUAUGCAAUUGCAUCACUCAAAGAUGAUCCCGCGUUGUAUUAGCUAGUUGGUGAGGUAAAGGCUCACCAAGGCGAUGAUACAUAGCCGACCUGAGAGGGUGAUCGGCCACAUUGGGACUGAGACACGGCCCAAACUCCUACGGGGGGCAGCAGUAGGGAAUCUUCCGCAAUGGACGAAAGUCUGACCGAGCAACGCCGCGUGAGUGAAGAAGGUUUUCGGAUCGUAAAACUCUGUUGGUAGAGAAGAACGUUGGUGAGAGUGGAAAGCUCAUAAAGUGACGGUAACUACCCAGAAAGGGACGGCUAACUACGUG